UACGGAGGGUGCAAGCGUUAUCCGGAUUCACUGGGUUUAAAGGGUGCGUAGGAGGGCAGGUAAGUCCGUGGUGAAAUCCUAGAGCUUAACUCUAGAACUGCCGUGGAUACUAUCUGUCUUGAAUCCCGUGGAGAUGAGCGGAAUAUGUCAUGUAGCGGUGAAAUGCUUAGAUAUGACAUAGAACACCAAUUGCGAAGGCAGCUCGUUACACGAAGAUUGACUCUGAGGCACGAAGCGUGGGAUCAAACAGG
rnacentral:rRNA from 1 species